rnacentral:rRNA from 1 species
UACGUAGGGGGCAAGCGUUGUCCGGAUUCAUUGGGCGUAAAGCACGUGUAGGCGGCCAGGUAGGUCCGACGUGAAAACUGGAGGCUCAACCUCCAGCUGUCGUUGGAAACCAUCUGGCUAGAGUCCGGAAGAGGAGAGUGGAAUUCCUGGUGUAGCGGUGAAAUGCGCAGAUAUCAGGAAGAACACCAAUGGCGAAGGCAGCUCUCUGGGACGGUACUGACGCUGAGACGCGAAAGCGUGGGGAGCGAACAGG